CGUGUAUUUGAUGCUUUCAUGUUUCAAAAAUAACACAACAUUCACAAACUUUAGCUUGGAGAACUAAUUUACCCAUUGGGUUCAACCAAAAUCAGCAGUUAGUUAGAAAUGCGGCUGUUUGCCUCCUUUGCUGUAUAUCUUUAAAAGUUACAAGUUUGCUGAUUUCUGCAGUGCAGAUCAACCGCCAGUUGUCUACCUGGAGGUGACUGUUGUUUGAGCUGUUUCCCUCCUGUGCUUCUCCCCCCGUCUGCUCUCCCUGCACACCUGCACUGCAUCAUCCUUGUUAGCCCAGCCCUGCUCCCAGUGUUCCUCCCAGCCUCCCGUCAGGUCUCUUAUGCGCAGAGGCAUACAAAUCAAAUAUGGAUUUCCCUGUAUGGUCAUCUUGUCCAGUUGAAGGUGAACAGCUGCCUGGUCAAACGCAACAAAAACCUGAAAACACAUGCAGGCACGGUAUCAGAGAGACCGCCCUCCUGAGGAGACGAAAGAAGUAUGUUGUAGGGGACAGCUGCUCCUGUCUUUGGGCCAUCCUUGACUAAAGAGUCGGUUAAUGUGUUACAAGACGGAGGUCAACAGCAUUCGUCCCAGGGAAUUCCUGGCCUGAGGUGUUCAAUAACGACACGGAGCGUUUUCAAAAUUCAGGCCAAGCACCGAGGGAAUGAUCUUCAAGAAAAACAUCGGACAGGAUUCAUUACACGGUUUGAAUGUCAGUCGAUCAGGACCAUUGAGAGCCCUGACAUUUGAUUUGACCUACGGUCCAGCGGGAGAGGACGCGCGUGUCCGCGCUGGUGUCAUCACGCGUGCUGACACAGGUGAGCGCGUGUGUGCCCACGUGGGAGAGUGUAAGUUCUGACUUUUUCGUAGAUGUGCAUUAGCCGUCGUCGCUGCGAGGAUGACUAAAACAUAAGGAUUCAUAAAACAUAAAGCCUCCAGCACUGCUCGCCUUAAGCAAGAGGGGAGGAGAAUCAAAUUAUACAAAGUGUAAAAGUCUGAAUAAAAAACAGCCAAAAAGAGA